GGGCAGUGGGUGGCAACUUGCAAGGGCCUGAUACCCUCACGACCGGACAUUGGCACCCCUGGGGGUCACGUGGCACGCCGGACCCCCCUCCCCUUUCUGCCCCCCUCCUCCCGGGGUCUGUUCGGAGCAGAGGUUGACCUGCGGGGUGAGAGAAGAGACACAGGGGGAGAAGAGGACUGGGGCUCGAAUGAAUCCAUCUUAGGAACUGAAAAGGGAACUGACAUCAAUAGGGUUUUCUCAUCUCCCCCACCCAACAUCUUCACAGCAGAUGCUGAGGCCACUUCCUUGAUCUGAAAUGGAUUUUUCGUAUUUCAACGCCUUAAUUUUAAAAGAACAGCCCACUAAUUUUCAUUUCCACUUUAAAAAUACAGACUCUACUCCUCUGGGAAAUGCCUAGGUUCCUUUCAUCCAAGCAGAGUCUGAGAAUCUCUGAAAGAGGCAGGAGGGAGAAGUAAGUCAAGCAGGGAACCUUCUGGUGUGAGGGAUUCUCUCCUUCCCCUCCCAUCUCUGGAAGACAACAACCUAACCUAGAAACUUCUGGAAGACUUUUGACCUCCAAAACCAGUGGAACUGAGCCUCUUCCACGGCGGCCCUGCUGCAGUCUAGUUCCUUGGAUUUCUCCAAAAGAAGAAGAAAGAAAUUGGAUAACUGAUGGACUUCUCUACCAAGAGAUGGAAAAGUGUUUUCUAACAGAGCAAAUUUUUUCCCUAGGAAAAAAGAAACUAAACAAAGCAAUCUGAACAAUGUUAUUCUCUGAAUUGGAAAUGGGGUGCCCAUCUUUACUGAAAUUCUCUGAGACCAAAAAAAAAACACAAAAAACAAAAAACACCCCACCUCAUUAUUUUAAUACAGGCUUCUGAGCGUGCCAGAAAAAUAAAGGUUCAAGCUGUCACAGGA